GACGAACGCUGGCGGCGUGCUUAACACAUGCAAGUCGAACGAAGUGGCGAACGGGUGAGUAACGCGUAAUCAACCUGCCCUUCAGGGGGGGACAACAGGUGGAAACGACUGCUAAUACCGCAUACUGAAGGAGGGGAUUGCGUCCGAUUAGCUAGUGGGAGGGGUAACGGCCGACCAAGGCGAUGAUCAGUAGCCGGGCGUGGGGGAUGAACGGCCACAUUGGGACUGAGACACGGCCCAGACUCCUACGGGAUGCAGCAGGUGGGACUCUUCCGCAAUGGACGAAAGUCUGACGGAGCAACGCCGCGUGAGUGAUGACGGCCUUCGGGUUGUAAAGCUCUGUUAAUCGGGACGCGGUACCGGAAUAGAAAGCCACGGCUAACUACGUGCCAGCAGCCGCGGUAAUUC
rnacentral:rRNA from 1 species